GUUAUAAAUUAUUAAAAAUAAUUAUUUUAUGAAUUGUUUAAGUAUUUUAUAAAGAAAAAAUAAUUUUAAUUAUAGUUAAAUAAUAUUGUGAAAGAAAAUUGAAAUAAAUUGAAAAAUUAAUAUUUUAAAAGAAGAUUUAAUUUAUUGUACCUUGUGUAUCAGGGUUUAUUAAAUAAAAAUUAUUUAUAAUAAUUUUCUCGAUUUUAAAAGAGUUAAUAUAUUAUAAAAGUUAAUGUAAUAAAAUUAUUUUAUAUAAUAUAUUAGAAAUGAAAUGUUAUUCGUUUUUAAAGGUAUCUAGUUCUUUAAGAAAUAAAUUUAAUUUAGAAAUUUUAUAUUAUUUAAUUAAAUUAAUUAAUUAAAUAAUUAUUUAAUUUUAAUAUUUUAUGGGAUAAGCUAUAAAAUAAAUUAUUAAAAAUUAUUAGAUAAUUUAAUAAAUAUAAGCUUAGAAAUAGUUAUUAUUAAUAAAAUUGUUAUAAUUUAUUUUGUUAAAAUGGAUUAUUUAUUAAAUUUUAAUUAUGUAUUAAAGUAUUUAUUUUAAUUAUAAAAAUGAAAAAAUAAUGAUAAAAUUAGUAUAUUAUAUUGUAUGAAUAUGAUUAAUUGAUAAGUUUUUAUAAAGAACUCGGCAAAAAUAAUGUUCGCCUGUUUAACAAAAACAUGUCUUUUUGAAUUUUUUUUAAAAGUCUAACCUGCCCACUGAAUUUUAAAUGGCCGCAGUAUAUUAACUGUGCAAAGGUAGCAUAAUCAUUAGUCUUUUAAUUGGAGGCUGGUAUGAAUGGUUGGACGAGAUAUUAACUGUUUCAUAAAAAUUUAUAAUAAAAUUUUAUUUUUUAGUUAAAAAGCUAAAAUAACAUUAAAAGACGAGAAGACCCUAUAAAUCUUUAUAUAUAAAUUAUUAGAAUUUUGUAGAUUUUUUUUAUUAUAAUAAUGAAUUAUAUUUUAUUGGGGUGAUAUUAAAAUUUAAUAAACUUUUAAUUUUUAAAAACCAUUAAUUUAUGAAUAAUUGAUCCACUAAUAGUGAUUAAAAAAAUAAGUUACUUUAGGGAUAACAGCGUAAUUUUUUUGGAGAGUUCUUAUCGAUAAAAAAGAUUGCGACCUCGAUGUUGAAUUAAGAUAUAAUUUUAGGUGUAGCUGCUUAAAUUUUAAGUCUGUUCGACUUUUAAAUUCUUACAUGAUUUGAGUUCAAACCGGCGUAAGCCAGGUUGGUUUCUAUCUUUAAUAAAUUAAAAUAUUUCAGUACGAAAGGACCUAAUAUUUAAUAGAUUAUUAUUU
rnacentral:rRNA from 1 species